ensembl:lncRNA
GAGUAAGGACCGCUGAAAAUCUGUUGUUCCAUAAAAACAAUGAUAACACUAAAAGUUGUCAAAAUCAACUUUGUCAGAACUCUAAAAAAAAAAAAAACUAAAAGCUUCCAGUAGUCUAAAAAGCAUUUAUUCAACAGAAACUGUAACAAAAUGGUUUGUAACAUUUUAAAUUUCCCUGUCCAUAUUUCCUCAGUUCUAGGUCAGCUUUGAAAACAAGCAACCUUGCAACUGUUAAAACCAGCAGCCUAGUAACCACUGGAGGGAACUUGAAGCACCACAAAAAGCCCACUCUAGAGAAUUGUCACUAUUUGACCUGUCUGGUAUCUCACUGAAAAGCUCUGUAUUCUAAAGAGUUCUGUCUUUAUUUGACCUGACUCCACUCACUCUGCAAAGAUCUGUAUCUUUACCCUGUUUACCAUAGAAGCUACUUGAGGCUGUGAUAACAAUUGAGGCUAAACAGAUGCUGACCAAAAACAAAAACAAAAAAAUGUCAUGUCUGUAGAGGGCUUUGAAAAGUUCCAGCAUAAUUCCUGGGAAUCUAGAAGGCUGCAUGUAUAAGAUAUAUGCAUACCCAAAAGAAAAAGCAUUAAUCUAACCUGUGACAGAACUUGAGGCUCUGUGAGUAGGAAGUGAAAGCUAAGGCAGUUGUAAACUGCAUGUUGAAGUGUUGAAGGCAUAGCCCAAUAGUUUCAAAGAGCACUUCUUCAAGAUUGGGAGAGUUAACUGUUUAAAGGCAUUAAAGAACAUUGCUGUCCAAUCAUUAGCUGACCUCUAAGCUAACAAAAUGGAGAAAGAAAUGGCAACCCACUCCAGUUUUCUUGCCUGGAGAAUUUCACGAACAGAGGAGCCUGGCAGGCUUUUGUCCUUGGGGUCGCAGAGUUGGACACAACUGAGCAAAUAUCAUUCACAUUUAAGCUAGCAAAACAGAAUAUAAUGGUCACACACAGCAAAAAAAUGCAGACUUUACAGAGUCAGUCCAAGAAGUUCUAACGCAGCAAAACCUGAGGAGGGGAAGGGAUUCCUUGUUCAGAGUUGGCAUGUUAUAUUAUUUUAAAUGUUUAGUUCUCAACAAAAAUUUACAAGACUUGGAAAGAAAGUGUCUGGGACAAAGCCCAGGUGUUGAAGUUUUUAAGUAAAAUUUUGUUAGCCUUUAAAAGCUUGUUCAGAGAACUAGAAGAAACCAUGUCUUAAAAGCUAAAUUUGAGAAUAAUCUUUCUCCAAAUAGAGAAUAACAAUAAAGAUAAAUUAUGAUAAAAGAAGCAAAUAGAAAUCCUGAUUGGAAAACUGUAACAGGUGAAAUAAAUUGAGUAGAGUCCCUCAAAAGCAGAUUUGAACUGCUAAAAAUAUUCAACAAAUUUGAACAGAGGUAUUACUUGAGAGUAGCCUAAUCAGAAAAAAAGGAAUAGAAACACAGUAUUGUAAAUCAGCUAUAUUGUAAUAUGAAAUAAAAUUUAAAGGAAUAAAGGGGGAAAACUACAGAGAUCUCUGGGACACUAUCAAGUAUAAUAGCAUAAUGGAGGUCCUAGAAGGAGAGAAGGGGUUACAGUAUAUUUGGAGAAAUAAUUGCCCCAAACUUCAGAAUUUACAGAAAAGAAUAUGCACAUCUGAGAAGCCUAACUACUGCUAAAUAAGACUGGGUUUGAGAAACAGCAAGAGAAAAGUGAUCACAUAUGAGGACUCUCUAAUAAGAUUAACAGCUUGCUUCUCAUAGGAAAGUCAUGGAGGCCCAGAGGCUUUGCAGGAAAAAGUCAACCUAGAAUUCUAUAUGCAGCAAAAUUACUCCUCAAAAAUGAAAGAAAUUAAGAUGGUCACACAUAAAAACAGAGCAAAUUUGUCAGUAGCAGACCUGCCUACCCUAUAGGAAAUACUGAAGAAUCCUUCAGGAAGAAAUGAAAGGACGUUAGAUAGUAAGUUGAAUCCACAUAAAUAGUAGCACUGGUAAAGUUAACUGCGUAAUGAAACAUGAAGCACGGUAGGGACUUUUCGAUUGUCCAGUGGCUAAGACUCCAUGUUCCCAAUGCAGGGGGCCCACGUUUGAUCACUACUCAGGGUUGAUUUCCCUUAAGAUUGACUGGUUUGAGCUCCUUGCUGUCCAGGGGACUCUCAAGAGCCUUCUCCAGCACCACAGCUUGAAAACAUUAAUUCUUCAUCUCUGCCUGCCUUAUGGCCCAGCUCUCACAUCCAUACAUGACUGCUGGAAAGACCUCAUAGCCUUGACUAUACAGAUCUUUGUCGGCAAAGUGAUGUCUUUGUUUUGUAACACACAGUCUAGGUUUGUCAUAGCUUUUCUGCCAAGAGGCAAUCUUCUAAUUUCAUGGCUUCAGUCACCAUCUGCGAUGAUUUUAGAGCCUAAGAGGAAAUCUGUCACUGCUUUCUUUCCCUUCUAUUUGCAGUGAAGUGAUGGGACUGGAUGCCAUGAUGUUAGUUUUUUUUAAUAUUGAGUAUUAAGCCAGCUUUUUCACUCGCCUCCUUCACCCACCCUUACUAAGAGGCUGUUUAGUUCCUCUUUGCUUUCUGCCGUUACAGUGAAAUCCCCCUUCAUGGAUCACUGCCUCGUCAUGGUGAAAUUACAGCUAUUGAUGUUUAUAUUUACAAAGCAGAUCUUAAAACCUAAUCUUCUACCUUGAAAAUCUAUUGCCAUUAAUUCCUGAUAGGUGUGUACUUACUGCC